rnacentral:rRNA from 1 species
AAUCAACGCUGGCGGCGUGCCUAACACAUGCAAGUCGAGCGAGAAAAGGGGGGCAACUCCCUGAGUACAGCGGCGCACGGGUGAGUAACACGUGGGUAAUCUGCCCUGGAGUGGGGAAUAACACCGGGAAGCCGGUGCUAAUACCGCAUACGAUAGCGAGGUCUGCGGAUUUCGUUAUGAAAGGAGCAAUUCGCUCCAGGAGGAGCCCGCGGCUGAUUAGCUAGUUGGUGAGGUAAUGGCUCACCAAGGCAACGAUCAGUAUCCGGUCUGAGAGGACGGUCGGACACACUGGAACUGAGACACGGUCCAGACUCCUACGGGAGGCAGCAGUGGGGAAUUUUUGGCAAUGGGGGCAACCCUGACCAAGCAACGCCGCGUGGGUGAUGAAGUCUCUUGGGACGCAAAACCCUUUCGACGGGGAAGAAACCGCAAGGUUGACGGUACCCGUAGAAGAAGCCCCGGCUAACUCCGUGCCAGCAGCCGCGGUAACAC